CAGCAGCCGCGGUAAUACGUAGGGGGCAAGCGUUAUCCGGAAUAACUGGGCGUAAAGGGUGCGCAGGUGGUUUAACAAGUUAGUGGUGAAAGGCAUAGGCUCAACCAAUGUAAGCCAUUAAAACUGUUUAACUUGAGUGCAGAAGAGGAGAGUGGAAUUCCACGUGUAGCGGUGAAAUGCGUAGAGAUGUGGAGGAACACCAGUGGCGAAGGCGACUCUCUGGUCUGUAACUGACGCUGAGGAGCGAAAGCGUGGGGAGCGAACAGGAUUAGAUACCCCCGUAGUCCCUGUCUCUUAUACA
rnacentral:rRNA from 1 species